GUUGCAUUUUCGUGGCCAUAGGGCCAUGCUUGUGUGUAUGCGUGUGUGGCCUCAAAGUGCACAUUGCACAGGGCACAAGAAGCUGGCGGCGCUGGCGCUGGCACCCAGGCAGGCAAGUCAGGCAGGCGCUUGCCACAACCAGCUGGCGGACGGGCGGGGCGGAUAUGUGCCUACCGUGUCCCCCGUGUGUGCGCGCGCUGAACGCGCCGAAAACCGUUGCUCCGGAGCCCCGAAGAAGUCUCCCGGCGGAUCGGAUGCUGUGGGGAAAACGCGAACGGAAGGAUGAAAUGUGUAUUCAAAUUUGUGUGGAGCCUUGGAGCCGAAAGCCCCGUCCCAGCCUGCGAAGGAUACUGCGUUUCUCGAGACUCGAGACGCGCAAGUCUGGUCACCGUCGAGACCAAGGGUGGUGAGUUCGGAGCCCGAGCCCCCCGAAGGGCACUGCAAGCUGUCGAGAGCGAGAUCCGCAGCAUCCUCCAGGGGUGAUCCAGCGCAUCCAGAAAUCACGG